UAUGGCUAUAUCAUGUUGAAACACCUGUUCUCAUCCAAUCACCAAAAUUAAGCAACAUUGAGCCUGGUCAGUAUCUAGAUGGGUGACUGCUUGGGAAUACCAGAUGUUGUAAG